CGCGUAGGCGGCGGCGGAAGUCGGGUGUGAAAGCCCGGGGCUCAACCCCGGAAUUGCACUCGAAACUUCGUUGCUGGAGGUCGGAAGAGGAGAGUGGAAUACCCAGUGUAGAGGUGAAAUUCGUAGAUAUUGGGUGGAACACCAGUGGCGAAAGCGGCUCUCUGGUCCGAACCUGACGCUGAGGCGCGAAAGCGUGGGGAGCAAACA
rnacentral:rRNA from 1 species